UACGAAGGGGCUAGCGUUGCUCGGAAUCACUGGGCGUAAAGCGCACGUAGGCGGAUUCCUAAGUCGGUGGUGAAAUCCUGGAGCUCAACUCCAGAACUGCCUCCGAUACUGAGAGUCUUCGAGUCCGGGAGAGGUGAGUGGAACUGCGAGUGUAGAGGUGAAAUUCGUAGAUAUUCGCAAGAACACCAGUGGCGAAGGCGGCUCACUGGCCCGGUACUGACGCUGAGGUGCGAAAGCGUGGGGAGCAAACAGG
rnacentral:rRNA from 1 species